rnacentral:lncRNA from 1 species
CACUACUAGAAUAGUUUCUUUCUGGUUGCCAGAAAUAUCUUCUCCUUGAUCUACAUGCUCUGGAUUUUGGCUAAGAAUUUUAAUUUGGUGAUUUCUUUCAGGAGUUCCUUUAAAAGAGGACAUGGACGAGGACAAUAUGAGACCAGAAGGCAUGAAUGGACCACAAUGCGCACCUAGGAGAGUAUCCAUUUUGAUGGGAAUAAGGAUCUAUUAAAAUUACUAAGCAUGUUUGAGG